UCAUAUCCUUCGUCUGCGAUCUUCGGGGAAUUAUUCAGGGAGUUCUGUUUUCUCUUCGAAGAAAUUAAAUCGCUCGUUAUCUUUUCUUUUAAUUUUAAUCUGUUUUCAGUUUUUAAAAUUAGAUUUCUGCUUUGGUUUUUUUGAUUCGAUUUUGCUAUGAGGAAAUCGUAAUUGCUCCAGAAACAUGAGUUAAUCUUGUCGAUGAUGGCAGCACCUCUAAGAAGUUCUGAGCAAUCAUCAGUUUUAAUCGUUUCGAUAUUUUUUACAAUAUCAUGUAAAUUCGAUCUUUUUUUUUUUUUUUUGUAUAAAGCGAAGUGACGAUAUAAUUCAAUGCUCUGUCAAUCCUCUGACAAAUUUUGAUUGAUGUUAAACUUUGAAUCUCGACAGUACUUUUAAUCUUUUUUUAUAAAGCGAAGUGACGAUAAAAUUCAAUGCUCUGUCAAUCCUCUGACAAACUUUGAUUGAUGUUAAACUUUGAAUCUCGACAGGUUCUGAUCGCUAAACAUAUUAUUUUUAUUAUUUAUGUUUUCUUUUUAAAAAUUAAAGAUAAUCGCUUAUCUCUGUUUAUUGUAAUACAUUUUGGCAUAUGAUGAAUGACAUUUAACAAAUGGGUAAUUUGCGACUGAAAGCUUUUUUUGAUGCUACAUCACCUUGGAGAACUGAUGCCAACUAUUUUUUAUAAGCGAAUCGAUUUCAUUUUCUUUUUAUUUUCAAUAUAUUUAGUUAUAAAUUUACAUUUGUUCGAUAGUUAAUAAAACUUUUUGUAAAUAUAAUUCUUAUUCUUUGAAUAUCUUUACAUACAAAUUUAAAGCAACAAUUUGUUAAUUGUAAAGAAGGAUGAUGUCAAAAUAAGUUACUUGAUUUAAAACAAAAAUUGAAGUAGUUUACACAUAAUUUUUAGAAUUCGAAUUUAAUAUUAAAGUUCUAUUAAAAUAUUUUAUUAAUACUUAGUUAAAAUUUGUUGAAUUUUUUUUUAAGUGUUUGAAGUUUUUAUAUUUCGUUAUUUUUCUUUACAAAUAUCUAGGAGUAGGACUAUAAAUAAUUGAUUUAACUUGAAUCUGACCUAGUUUAUGUAAGUUUGUUUAAAUUAGCUGAACACAAGCGUUUAAACAAAUGUAGUACAAAACUAUUUGUUAUAUACGAACAUAAUUACUUAAACAAACAAAUAAAAUCAAACUUAAACGAAAAAUAUAAACAAAUGUUGAAUAUAACCUAUUCUUUGUGUUUUUAUUCGUGUUUGUUCAUCUAUUGAAUAAAACUUGAUACUUUUUUAGUAAGAAUUAAAAUCAAAAGUAUUAAGGGAACAGAACUGAUAAGCAUUAAGAACAAAGUACCGUCAGGUCAAGACUUGUGGUUCCUAAAUAUCUAAUUUUCCUAUAUAAACCUUUGCCCAUCAAAUUUUAGUAUCAUAAAUUAAAUUUACAAUAUAUUUUAAGAUACAAACGAUAUAUAAAAUGUUUUUAAGGAAAAAAACGUCUUACAUUUUUUAUUAAAAAAACACUACAUUUAAAAAGAAGUUUCAACAUCAUUUAUUAAAUAAAAAUCACCACAAUUAAAAAAAACUCAAAAUAUUUUUUGUCACAAAAGAACACCACAAUAAAAAUACUCAACAUGGUUUGUUACAAAACUCUAACAAAUCCUUACGAGUUAAUAAGAAAAAAAAUAAAAAAAAUGCUACAUAAAUAACAUAAAAAUGUUGUCAUUUUGUCUUAAAAAGACAUUGUUUUACAUUAUGCCCCUGUCUACAAAUUUCACAAAGUUAUAUUUAUUCCCUUUUUAAGAUGCAUAUCAUUUUUUAGUUUUGUAGAAUAAGGACAUCCUUUCUUAUUCUGUUUGAAAGAAAUGCAGUAAAUGGUGAUUGUGCCAGCAUGCUCAUGGGAAAGUAAGGAGAACUAAGAUGACCAAACAUGUGUUUGCCAUCAAUGCAAAUCACCGGUCAUGCUCAUGGGGAAGUAAGGAGAACUAAGAUGACCAAACAAGUGUUUUUUAGGCGUGUUUUUUAGGUUUUGCUCAUUCUAUCAAAUGGUUUCACUAUUAUCGACCGGUGAUUAGCAUUGACACACACUUAUAUGUUCAUCUUAGUUCUUUCUGUUUUCUCAUGAAGCGUAUUGGCCACAAUCAUCAUUUAAUGCAUUACUUCCAAAUUAAGAACUAUUAUGAAAUAAAAAAGAUUGUCCUCGUUCAACAAAGCUAAAAAAUGGUAUGCAUAUUAAAGAAGGAACUAAAUGUCAUUUUUUGUGGAAUUUGUAGGCAACAUGGUCAUAAUUAAAAAGACAACAUUUUUGUGAUAUUGUUGUAGAUUUUCUCUUAUUUUUUUUUUCUUUUUUCUUUUGUACAUGUAAAUGUUUGUUAGCGGUUCAAGUUCAAGCUAAUUGUGAUGUUGGAGUUUGUAACAAACGAUGUUGGAGUAUUUUUUAAUUGUGGUGUUUUUUUUGUAACAAACGAUGUUAAGGUUUUUUUUAAUAAUAAAUAAGUGCUUUUUUUUU